UGCGUAGGUGGUCAGGUAAGUCGGAUGUGAAAGCUCGGAGCUCAACUCCGAAAUGGCAUUGGAAACUACCUGGCUCGAGGGUUGGAGGGGGGACUGGAAUGCUUGGUGUAGCAGUGAAAUGCGUAGAUAUCAAGCGGAACACCAGUGGCGAAGGCGAGUCCCUGGACAACUCCUGACACUGAGGCACGAAAGCUAGGGGAGCAAACA
rnacentral:rRNA from 1 species